CGGACUUUGGGGUAAAAUGCGGACCGUUUCGUACAUGUAUCGAUUGAAAGUGCGGACCAUACAGGGUAAACAGCAGACUGGUAUUUGCGGACUUCAUGCCCUUUAUUUCGAAAUUCUCCAAAUCAAGGUUUCCUCCACUUGUGGCCAUCUUUCCAUCUACCAGAAGCAGCAAAAUCAUAUACCUAUUUGUCUGCAAAAUCUGUUCGAUAAAACAAAAAAUAUAAAAAAUUUGGUUGGAUCAUUGCAACUUAAAACUUACAUUCUUUGACAUACAGACAUUUUAUAAUUAAAACAAUUUUUUUUCCUUCAUUUAUCAUUUCAUCCGUCGAAAUGUCUGUAUCCUGUAUAGUAUGCCCUAUGCUGUAUCCCCUAUAAUACGCGGACUGGGGACUGUUCUACUAUGGAGAAACUGCGGACUGCUGUAAAAAAUUUCGGGCGCAGUUUGUCCAGUCCGCAGCCCGCGGUCCGCAUUUUAUUCUGGCCAUACGAUUGCAGACAUAAGGCUGAGACGAUUGGGCAAAGAAAUGCAUCGUCGCUUUUCGGAACUUUUACUGUUUUUGUUCAUUUCCCUACUGAUCUAAUGCUUUACACACUGCAUUUCUUUAAUUAUCCAUCAAAUCGUUCUGCAGGGCCUCCCAACAGAAAAGUACCGCUCCGUAUAGCGCCGCAUAAGAGCCUCCUUAAAGAGGUAAACUAUUAAUAUUUACCUCCCUCAGAUGGCUUUUUCAAAAUAAAUCGAUGUUCACCUUAUUGUGCAGGAUAGGGCUCGGCCCCGGUUCUCGAAAACCCGGUUUACCCGCGGUUCGUCGCCAAAAAAAGUCGCCCAUGAGUGAUCCGGGUAGUCUA